rnacentral:lncRNA from 1 species
ACAGACUGUCCGUUGUAAUUUGGCAGCAGCAUUUAAUGGCUCUGAGACCAAUGCCAAGGCCAUCAACCCUUCUGAACUUCAACCUCCUUAUCUGUAAAACAGAGGGAAUACAGGCUGACAUUUUAUGAGACUACUUGAGAUACUUUAGCAUCUGGCUCAAGAAAUGCUCAUUUUUUGUUUCUAAAUCAAGUGGCUGUAUCGUCACAAUGUUGAGAGUGCUGUUAUUCCUGUGUUCAUCAGCAAGCCACAGCUUUCUCAAAGAUGGUUGUCUCAAAUGAGUGAGAAGAGAUGCUGUCCCUAGGGGAAGAUGUUCUAACUCCAGUCUUUUUAAGAGAUUAGGUUUCCCAUGUGGAAGACUCGAAAAUCCAUGGGACCUGUGAGGGAAGGAGACUGAAGGAAGAGACAAGUAGAGGAAGCUGAUGAGAAGCUAUGAAGCAGCAGCCCUGCGGAAAGGCUUGGGAUCCAGUCACACGAGCCUGUAAGAGUGAUUUCUCCUCCAUGUCAUAACUCACCUGAUCCCAGGAGACAAAGGGAUAGAAGGUCCCAGUUGAUGUGGCCAGACCUCUAGGAUGGCCUAAGUGGGAACCUGGAUGGUCUUCCAUGAUCCAUUCAUUCCUUAAAGACUGUCCACUGGUGCCCAGAACUACUGUUGGUAUUGGGAAUAACACAGGGAAUAAAGACAUCUGCAUCAC